rnacentral:rRNA from 1 species
GACGAACGCUGGCGGCGUGCCUAAUACAUGCAAGUCGAACGAGAGCGCCCGGUGCUUGCACUGGUCAAUCUAGUGGCGAACGGGUGAGUAACACGUGGGUAACCUGCCCAUCAGAGGGGGAUAACAUCCGGAAACGGAUGCUAAAACCGCAUAGGUCUUCGAGCCGCAUGGCUUGAAGAGGAAAAGAGGCGCAAGCUUCUGCUGAUGGAUGGACCCGCGGUGCAUUAGCUAGUUGGUGAGGUAACGGCUCACCAAGGCCGUGAUGCAUAGCCGACCUGAGAGGGUGAUCGGCCACAUUGGGACUGAGACUCGGCCCAAACUCCUACGGGAGGCAGCAGUAGGGAAUCUUCCGCAAUGGACGCAAGUCUGACGGAGCAACGCCGCGUGAGUGAAGAAGGUUUUCGGAUCGUAAAACUCUGUUGUUAGAGAAGAACAAGUGCUAGAGUAACUGUUAGCGCCUUGACGGUAUCUAACCAGAAAGCCACGGCUAACUACGUG